CAGUGGGGAAUUUUGGACAAUGGGCGAAAGCCUGAUCCAGCAAUGCCGCGUGCAGGAUGAAGGCCCUCGGGUUGUAAACUGCUUUUGUACGGAACGAAAAGCCUGGGGCUAAUAUCCCCGGGUCAUGACGGUACCGUAAGAAUAAGCACCGGCUAACUACGUGCCAGCAGCCGCGGUAAUACGUAGGGUGCAAGCGUUAAUCGGAAUUACUGGGCGUAAAGCGUGCGCAGGCGGUUUUGUAAGACAGUGGUGAAAUCCCCGGGCUCAACCUGGGAACUGCCAUUGUGACUGCAAGGCUAGAGUGCGGCAGAGGGGGAUGGAAUUCCGCGUGUAGCAGUGAAAUGCGUAGAUAUGCGGAGGAACACCGAUGGCGAAGGCAAUCCCCUGGGCCUGCACUGACGCUCAUGCACGAAAGCGUGGGGAGCAAACAGGAUUAGA
rnacentral:rRNA from 1 species